rnacentral:rRNA from 1 species
AUGAACGCUGGCGGCGUGCCUCAUACAUGCAAGUCGAGCGAACGGACGAGAAGCUUGCUUCUCUGAUGUUAGCGGCGGGCGGGUGAGUAACACGUGGAUAACCUACCUAUAAGACUGGGAUAACUUCGGGAAACCGGAGCUAAUACCGGAUAAUAUUUUGAACCGCAUGGUUCAAAAGUGAAAGACGGUCUUGCUGUCACUUAUAGAUGGAUCCGCGCUGCAUUAGCUAGUUGGUAAGGUAACGGCUUACCAAGGCAACGAUGCAUAGCCGACCUGAGAGGGUGAUCGGCCACACUGGAACUGAGACACGGUCCAGACUCCUACGGGAGGCAGCAGUAGGGAAUCUUCCGCAAUGGGCGAAAGCCUGACGGAGCAACGCCGCGUGAGUGAUGAAGGUCUUCGGAUCGUAAAACUCUGUUAUUAGGGAAGAACAUAUGUGUAAGUAACUGUGCACAUCUUGACGGUACCUAAUCAGAAAGCCACGGCUAACUACGUG